GAUGAACGCUGGCGGCGUGCCUAAUACAUGCAAGUCGAGCGAACAGACGAGGAGCUUGCUCCUCUGACGUUAGCGGCGGACGGGUGAGUAACACGUGGAUAACCUACCUAUAAGACUGGGAUAACUUCGGGAAACCGGAGCUAAUACCGGAUAAUAUAUUGAACCGCAUGGUUCAAUAGUGAAAGACGGUUUUGCUGUCACUUAUAGAUGGAUCCGCGCCGCAUUGGCUAGUUGGUAAGGUAACGGCUUACCAAGGCAACGAUGCGUAGCCGACCUGAGAGGGUGAUCGGCCACCCUGGAGCUGGGACACGGUCCAGGCUCCUACGGGAGGCAGCAGUAGGGAAUCUUCCGCAAUGGGCGAAAGCCUGACGGAGCAACGCCGCGUGAGUGAUGAAGGUCUUCGGAUCGUAAAACUCUGUUAUUAGGGAAGAACAAAUGUGUAAGUAACUAUGCACGUCUUGACGGUACCUAAUCAGAAAGCCACGGCUAACUACGUG
rnacentral:rRNA from 1 species